AUGUGUAAAGAUUGAGUUUAUAUGUUGAACAAUGAAAAUACACCAACAAUGUUUAUGGCAAGUGAACAUAAGACUGGGGGCAAAGUUUCUCAUAUUUUUUAAACAUUUUGUUUUUACACAGUACAGUUCAGUCCAUGCAGCGCCCUUACAAUCUGUCAAACCUUACACCCUCAACAAGCUAGUCAGGCAGUGCAGUGUCAUCCAGCCGUGAAGCCAUUUGGCGGCGAGGAGAAGGAGUGGGCCAGCUGAAGGCUAACCCCAGGAGCCCCCUUAACCCACGGUGGUUGAGAGCCCAGUCAAUCAGACGCAAUGAUGUUAAACUCCUCUCCAAUGAAUACCCUUCACCAGUCAUCACAGAGAUUGUCUGUGUCUGGCGGCUGAUUAGGAGUUCAUCUCAAAUCAGAGAACAUGAAAUAUAUGCUGAAGAAAAGAAAUACGACCCCACUCUUUUUCUUCUCCUCAGUUGCUUCCUUUCUUUCUCUGUAUGUCUCCCUCAGUUCUCAUCUCGAAUUUCCCCUACCACUUUAUUGCUUCUUUCCCCUCCUACACUCCGCUUGCCACAUACUAUAUGUGAGAUAAAAGGUGAAUUCUAGAAAACCCUCUUUCUGACUCGGAUUGCUCCCGUCUUUAUACUCCUCUCGGUGUUUGGAGUGUGGACAAGGUGGGGUAGAAGAGAGAGAGUGAAGAGAAGAACAAACAGCCGACUGUGACAGUGAAAGCAGACGGUCAGACUCUGGCACCAGUACAGGAUUUAUGCUUUGUUGUGUAGUUUGGGCGCUUAGGGACCAAGCAUGCAAGACACUGUUGGAUAC